rnacentral:tRNA from 1 species
CGCGGGGUGGAGCAGUUCGGUAGCUCGUCGGGCUCAUAACCCGAAGGUCGCAGGUUCAAAUCCUGCCCCGGCGG